rnacentral:rRNA from 1 species
GGUCGAGUCGGCCUGCGCGGAAGAUGUAACGGGGCUAAGUAGUAAACCGAAGCUGCGGCAAUGUGCUUUUGCACAUUGGGUAGGGGAGCGUUCUGUAAGCGGUUGAAGGUGUGUGGUAACGCAUGCUGGACGUAUCAGAAGUGCGAAUGCUGACAUGAGUAACGAUAAAGGGGGUGAAAAACCUCCUCGCCGGAAGACCAAGGGUUCCUGUCCAACGUUAAUCGGGGCAGGGUAAGUCGACCCCUAAGGCGAGGCCGAAAGGCGUAGUCGAUGGGAAACGGGUUAAUAUUCCCGUACUUCUUACAAUUGCGAUGGGGGGACGGAGAAGGCUAGGUGGGCCUGGCGACGGUUGUCCAGGUUCAAGUGCGUAGGCUUAAGAGUUAGGUAAAUCCGGCUCUUUUUAAGGCUGAGACACGACGUCGAGCUACUACGGU